AGUGGCGAACGGGUGAGUAAUGCUUGGGAAUCUGCCCAGUAGUGGGGGACAACUCGGGGAAACUCGAGCUAAUACCGCAUACGCCCUACGGGGGAAAGCGGGGGAUCUUCGGACCUCGCGCUAUUGGAUGAGCCCAAGUCGGAUUAGCUUGUAGGUGGGGUAACGGCCUACCUAGGCUACGAUCCGUAGCUGGUCUGAGAGGACGAUCAGCCACACUGGGACUGAGACACGGCCCAGACUCCUACGGGAGGCAGCAGUGGGGAAUAUUGGACAAUGGGGGCAACCCUGAUCCAGCAAUGCCGCGUGUGUGAAGAAGGCCUGCGGGUUGUAAAGCACUUUCAGUAGAGACGAAAAGCCUAAGGUUAAUACCCUUGAGUCUUGACUUGACCUACAGAAGAAGCACCGGCUAACUCCGUGCCAGCAGCCGCGGUAACACGGAGGGUGCAAGCGU
rnacentral:rRNA from 1 species